rnacentral:tRNA from 1 species
GGAGAGGUGCCGGAGUGGUUGAACGGGUCCGUCUCGAAAAUGGAUAUAGCCGCAAGGCUAUCGAGGGUUCGAAUCCCUCCUUCUCCG